UCGAGCGCGAAUGGGGAAACCCUAGUAGAGCGGCGCACGGGUGCGUAACACGUGGAUAAUCUGCCUGGAUGCCUGGGAUAACCAGUCGAAAGAUUGGCUAAUACCGGAUAAGCCCACGGUCUCUUCGGAGACUGAGGGAAAAGGUGGCCUCUGUAUACAAGCUAUCACAACCAGAUGAGUCCGCGGCCCAUCAGCUAGUUGGCGGGGUAAUGGCCCACCAAGGCAACGACGGGUAGCUGGUCUGAGAGGACGAUCAGCCACACUGGAACUGAGACACGGUCCAGACUCCUACGGGAGGCAGCAGUGGGGAAUUUUGCGCAAUGGGCGAAAGCCUGACGCAGCAACGCCGCGUGUGUGAUGAAGGUCUUUGGAUUGUAAAGCACUUUCGACCGGGACGAAACCGUAAAGCCUAAUACGCUUUGCCUUGACGGUACCGGGAGAAGAAGCACCGGCUAACUCUGUGCCAGCAGCCGCGGUAAUACAGAGGGUGCAAGCGUUGUUCGGAAUUAUUGGGCGUAAAGCGCGUGUAGGCGGCUUUGCAAGUCGGGUGUGAAAGCCCUCAGCUCAACUGAGGAAGUGCGCCCGAAACUGCAGAGCUUGAGUGCCGGAGAGGGUGGCGGAAUUCCCCAAGUAGAGGUGAAAUUCGUAGAUAUGGGGAGGAACACCGGUGGCGAAGGCGGCCACCUGGACGGUAACUGACGCUGAGACGCGAAAGCGUGGGUAGCAAACAGGAUUAGAUACCCUGGUAGUCCACGCCGUAAACGAUGAGAACUAGGUGUCGUGGGAGUUGACCCCCGCGGUGCCGUAGCUAACGCAUUAGGUUCUCCGCCUGGGAAGUACGGUCGCAAAGACUAAAACUCAAGGGAAUUGACGGGGGCCCGCACAAGCGGUGGAGCAUGUGGGUUAAUUCGACGCAACGCGCAGAACUUUACCUGGUCUUGACAUCCUCGGAAUCCUUC
rnacentral:rRNA from 1 species